GACGGGGCCCGCACAAGCGGCGGAGCAUGCGGAUUAAUUCGAUGCAACGCGAAAACCUUACCUACCCUUGACAUGUCCGGAAUCCCGAAGAGAUUUGGGAGUGCUCGCAAGAGAACCGGAACACAGGUGCUGCAUGGCUGUCGUCAGCUCGUGUCGUGAGAUGUUGGGUUAAGUCCCGCAACGAGCGCAACCCUUGUCAUUAGUUGCCAUCAUUUGGUUGGGCACUCUAAUGAGACUGCCGGUGACAAACCGGAGGAAGGUGGGGAUGACGUCAAGUCCUCAUGGCCCUUAUGGGUAGGGCUUCACACGUCAUACAAUGGUCGGUACAGAGGGUUGCCAACCCGCGAGGGGGAGCUAAUCCCACAAAGCCGAUCGUAGUCCGGAUCGCAGUCUGCAACUCGACUGCGUGGAGUCGGAAUCGCUAGUAAUCGUGGAUCAGCAUGUCACGGUGAAUACGUUCCCGGGUCUU
rnacentral:rRNA from 1 species